AUAACCGGGAGAAAUCCCGACUAAUACCGCGUAACGCCGCGGACCUGCAUGGGUCUGCGGCCAAAGGAAGCGAUUCCGGCGGGGGAUGGGCAUGCGGCGCAUUAGCUAGUCGGCGGGGUAACGGCCCACCGAGGCGACGAUGCGUAGGGGUUCUGAGAGGAAGGUCCCCCACACUGGUACUGAGACACGGACCAGACUCCUACGGGAGGCAGCAGUGAGGAAUAUUGGUCAAUGGGCGGGAGCCUGAACCAGCCAAGUCGCGUGAGGGAAGACGGUCCUACGGAUUGUAAACCUCUUUUGCCGGGGAGCAACGGGGUCCUUGCGAGGGCCCAAUGAGAGUACCCGGAGAAAAAGCAUCGGCUAACUCCGUGCCAGCAGCCGCGGUAAUACGGAGGAUGCGAGCGUUAUCCGGAUUUAUUGGGUUUAAAGGGUGCGUAGGCGGGCUGUUAAGUCAGCGGUCAAAUGUCGGGGCUCAACCCCGGCCUGCCGUUGAAACUGGCGGCCUCGAGUGGGCGAGAAGUAUGCGGAAUGCGUGGUGUAGCGGUGAAAUGCAUAGAUAUCACGCAGAACUCCGAUUGCGAAGGCAGCAUACCGGCGCCCGACUGACGCUGAGGCACGAAAGCGUGGGUAUCGAACAGGAUUAGAUACCCUGGUAGUCCACGCAGUAAACGAUGAAUGCUAGCUGUCCGGGACUUCGGUCCUGGGUG
rnacentral:rRNA from 1 species